UGGUAAGUUGCCUACCUGUGUCUUGCUGAUAAUAGAAACUUUUCUAGUUAGCUUUAUAUUUAGAGGGCAUUUAAGGCCACGAUUCCAGAGAUCUGUUCUGCUGGCAGCAGUGACUUAGGCAGUCACCUCUUACUGCAGCUGCUCAGCACCGUUCCUCUGCCAGUGCAACUGCUAGCAUGCCUGCGUGGAGAACCUGGCUGCGAACUCACUUGCAACACUAUAACCUCCAUUUGUAAAGGGUACGUGCAGCUUACGUGUUACUUCAGGUGAAUAUUUGACCUCUAUCCAAGUCCUGUUAGUUUUGCUUUGACCUGUGCUAGCUCUUUGUGUAAAGCUGUUUUUCAUAUCUGUAGAUUCUCAGAGUAAAAUUGUAGUGUUCAGAGAAGCAGUGCUUUUAGAAAGGUCUCAUCAAUAGCAAUUAGUUUAAAAAUACAGGGAUUUAACUUUUUUUUUUUCCUUUUAAGAUUUACUUAGUCUUUACCUUUUUCGGCUUUGAGGUCAAUGUUUCACUUUCUGUGGUAUAGUUUUAAACUGGUACUUCUGCUUUUACCAGUUUUUUUCUAGUUAAUAAUUUGUGAUAGAAUUUUAGAUCUUGUAAAAUUUUAAUCUUUGUAAGUAAGUUCAGAUUUAAAAUGGUUCAGAUGUGCAGAAAAAAAGGACAAGACUUGGUAUAGUAUUAACACCUUUAUCAUGUCAGUAACAUAUAGUCAGCAAUCAAGUAUCUCCUGUUGUGCCUACAUCUGUUUUACUUGCCAGUAAACUAAACCUUCCACAAGUCAAGGCAUGCCAUGUCUAGGCUACACACUCAUCACAUUUAAAUUUUGAAGUGAAUACCGUUAUUCAAAAUUACCUCAGUAUUUUUCAAAGGUUGAGAUCCAGGAACCCAGUUUUGGUUGUGCACAAAAAUAGAUUGCUCAAGAUAACAGUAGUCUAAAAAAAUUUGUAUUGUGAUGUGUUAGUGCUGAGC